AUCGAACGCUGGCGGCAGGCCUAACACAUGCAAGUCGAACGGGUGGAGGACUGGUGGAUAAUGUCUGGAAAACUGCCUGACGGACGGGGAUAACUACUGGAAACGGUAGCUAAUACUGCAUAAAAUGGGAUGUGCCCAGAGGGGUUUAGCUAGUAGGUGGGGUAUCGGCUCACCUAGGCGACGCUCCACAGCUGGUCUGCGAGGAUGACCGGCCACACUGGAACUGAGACGCGGCCCAGACUCCUACGGGAGGCAGCAGUGGGGAAUAUUGCACAAUGGACGCAAGCCUGAUGCAGCAAUGCCGCGUGUGUGAAGAAGGUCGUCGGGUCGUAAAGUACUUUCGGCGGAGAAGCGGUACCCGCAGAAAAAGCAACGGCUAACUACGUGCCAGCAGCCGCGGUAAUUC
rnacentral:rRNA from 1 species